rnacentral:rRNA from 1 species
ACGCUCGACACCUACGAGAGGCAGCAGUGGGGAAUAUUGCACAAUGGGGGAAACCCUGAUGCAGCGACGCCGCGUGAGCGAAGAAGUAUUUCGGUAUGUAAAGCUCUAUCAGCAGGGAAGAAACUGACGGUACCUGACUAAGAAGCACCGGCUAAAUACGUGCCAGCAGCCGUGGUAAUCUGAGGCGGGCGUGGACGAAGGC